rnacentral:rRNA from 1 species
UACGUAGGGUGCAAGCGUUGUCCGGAAUUAUUGGGCGUAAAGAGCUCGUAGGCGGUGUGUCGCGUCGGCCGUGAAAACCUGCAGCUUAACUGUGGGCUUGCGGUCGAUACGGGCAUCACUGGAGUUCGGCAGGGGAGACUGGAAUUCCUGGUGUAGCGGUGAAAUGCGCAGAUAUCAGGAGAAACACCGGUGGCGAAGGCGGGUCUCUGGGCCGAUACUGACGCUGAGGAGCGAAAGCGUGGGGAGCGAACAGG